UUCAAUGUAUCAUCACGAGACUACAUUUCAGAGAUGCAGUAUUCCGUGUUUUAGUAUCGGUAUCAGUCUAAACGGCAGUAACUCAGAAUAAUAACGCAUCCAUACAUUUAUUACUUUAAUUUGUCGGAAUGCACGGCAGCUGAAAACACCUGAAAGGGGGUGACGGAAACAAAGAGCCCUGAAGAAUCCUAAACACCAGGCAGCCAACCCAGAGGAACAAGAGAAACAGCGACGAGACCAACAGAUACGGCGCCCCCCUGUGGCAUUGCGCAAACCCCAGUGUCCCCCAGAGGCACCUCCCAGUGUCCAAGACCCCCGCAGGGUUAAUCCAUAGCCAUCCUGACCUAAUCCCAUAGCAAUAAAGAUAUUUUUACCAGCACUGUGUCCCAUGUCCUUCCUCUUCUGAGGUUUGAGGGAAAUGAGGUUAACACAGUAGGGAGAAAGUGCUUAUAUGGGGGUUAUUAUAACCUGAGCUUCCUGAGUCGAAUGGUGUAGCUUUUUGGUGUCAUUUAUUGUGACCCCAUACUUGGUAUGGUUGGGGUUAGGGAUGCUAACAUGCUAACUUUCGAGAUGACUGCGGAUUCUGUAUGUAGGAGGCACAAUAUGUGUAGUCCAAAGUUUCAGCCUGAUCAGAGAAUGCUAAGGGUUAGAUUAUAAUGCAAAAUUGUACUAUCACCGA